GUUGUUUGCAUAUAGUUGUCAAUGCGGUAUUUCUGUUAGCCUGUCACUCCUCCUUCACUAUGUGCAUGUGUGGUGUGUGUAGUGGGGCUGAGAGGGCACCUGGGCUCAGAUCGACACAGUGUCGCCAGAGCAAUCGCUGCAUUUAGCUGCACAGCCGUCUUCUUUGCAUCCCCUGCAGCAUGGCGUAGCAGCAGCCGCACAAUAUCAGUGCCCAGCAGAUUGCUGGCAGUUCCCUCCAACUGAAGGCAGUUGGCCAAACAGAGGGCUGCGUUUCCUAACACCAACUCAUGACAGCUGGAGCCCAGCAGAUGACAGGCUGUAAUCAUACUAACAAUGGCAACCGGAAAGGCGUCCCAACACUCUGGAUCAUGAGCAAGCUUGUGAUGGAUGACGGCAUCCCGAGCCAGAGAGCCAAUGGCCGACAGCAGCGGUGGAAGGAUCUUACGAUUGGUCUUGUUGAUACUUCUCUGUAAAAUCGGAAAGAGGGUUCAUCCAAGGCAGCAAUGUAGCAAUCAGCUUCCUCCAUCGCCUUUUGCUGGACUUCAGCAUCAGAAGAUUUAAGUUCCUUCACCAGCUCACCUGGGAAGAAUUUGUGCUUUAUUCCACUAUUUACAAACCUCAACUCAACAUCUGUACAUUUCAUUCAGCCAUAAUUGUCUAUUAACUUUUUCUAUAUCGAGCUAAGACUAUAACUACUGUUUCAUCUGUCCAUUUUUCUUGAUUAAUCUGUACAUCUUUAAAUCUAGAAGACAUAGAAAAAUAGCAAAAGAAAAUCCCCUUCAUAAUUCACCACAUUCCUAAAUAAAGUCUUUAAAUGUUUGACGGACAGUGUUAACCCAAAAAUAAUCACUUGAUCAUCUUGUAUGAUCACAAAAAUUAUCAAUCUUAAAAUGUUAGUACUUGGAAUCAACAAAGGUUCUAUUAUUUACAAUAUUCAUGUACCCCAUACACAUAUGCAAUUUCCCACAAUUUCAUGAAAGAGGACAUCAUUCAAAACAAAAUAGUACUUAAUAUAAUAAUAAUAAUAACUUAAUAACAUAAAUAAUAUCUGUCUCUUUAUUCUUUAUUCGCUAUAGAUUGAAAUAACACCUGAUUGUGAACUUUAUAAUAUCUAAAUCUAUAUGACACAUUGAACCUUCUGCCUGUUCAAAGCUAACCAGCUGAAAAUUGACUCACGAUUAUUCUACUCACUUAUUUUGUCAACAUUCUUCAGAAACCUCUCGACGUCCUCAACUUUCUCCAUCUUGUUGUCGUUCUUCCAAACUUAUUUUUGUUAUUAAAUAAGCUAAUUAGCUCUUCGUCGUGUUAGCUAGCGCUGAGUUUAGCAUCACGCGUUUGCGUCGUCCAGUUGCCCUGGUGACGCGAUGCCUUCAGGGCCCGCUCGUAAAUCCAGUAAAGAAAAGCUGAAGCAUCGCGGGGUUGUCUCUCUGCGAAAGAAUAUUUCGUAGAAGAUGAUCACGAAGUAUUUGUUGAGCUUGAAGGAAUCAAACUGUUGUUUCAAACAAAAGAUAAUCAGAAUAAAUCUUUUAAAACGUUGUUGUCGUAAGUGAAGUGUGAGUUUUGAUUUAUCCGUUAAAGCAAUUGAAGUUAGCACUGCUCACCCUGGAUUUAGGUGGUCCCAUUUUUUCCCUCUAUUCUAAAACACCUCAAGUGUCAAAUAAAUGUUUUUAUAAAUGAUUAUGAAUCAUUUACAGGCUGAUAUUUCUUUAUUAGACUGUUUUUAGGGGGCUCAUAUUUAUGCAGAUGCAUUCUGUGUAUCCUUACUGUGCUUCCACAUAUGUGCAGAAAGAUCAAAUCUCCUGCACACUUCAGAGAAUCUGCUCCUUGGUGUUUCUCUUGCUAUUAGGAGACUCCAUCAGUUUGAACUCCCUCCUCACU